AGUGUGACGGGGUUACCCAAAGUGUUCUUAUUGAACUGUGGUAGGUGAGUAAUGUCCCCUACUAGAAAGGAGAGGGCAAGGCUGGUGCCAGCCGCCGCGGUAAAACCAGCUCUUCAAGUGGUCGGGAUAAUUAUUGGGCUUAAAGUGUCCGUAGCCGGUUUAGUUAGUUCCUGGUAAAAUCGGGUAGCUUAACUAUCUGUAUGCUAGGAAUACUGCUAUACUAGAGGGCGGGAGAGGUCUGAGGUACUACAGGGGUAGGGGUGAAAUCUUAUAAUCCUUGUAGGACCACCAGUGGCGAAGGCGUCAGACUGGAACGCGCCUGACGGUGAGGGACGAAAGCCAGGGGAGCGAACCGGAUUAGAUACCCGGGUAGUCCUGGCCGUAAACGAUGCAUACUAGGUGAUGGCACGGCUAUGAGCCGUGUCAGUGCCGUAGGGAAACCGUUAAGUGUGCCGCCUG
rnacentral:rRNA from 1 species